UAUUGGACAAUGGGGGGGACCCUGAUCCAGCGACGCCGCGUGAGUGAAGAAGUAUUUCGGUAUGUAAAGCUAUAUCAGCAGGGAAGAAAGAAAUGACGGUACCUGACUAAGAAGCCCCGGCUAACUACGUGCCAGCAGCCGAGUUAAUACGUAGGGGGCAAGCUUUAUCCGGAUUUCCUGGGUGUAAAGGGAGCGUAGACGGCGAUGCAAGUCUGAAGUGAAAGGCGGGGGCCCAACCCCCGGACUGCUUUGGAAACUGUAUGGCUGGAGUGCAGGAGAGGUAAGUGGAAUUCCUAGUGUAGCGGUGAAAUGCGUAGAUAUUAGGAGGAACACCAGUGGCGAAGGCGGCUUACUGGACUGUAACUGACGUUGAGGCUCGAAAGCGUGGGGAGCAAACAG
rnacentral:rRNA from 1 species